rnacentral:rRNA from 1 species
UACGUAGGGGGCAAGCGUUGUCCGGAUUUAUUGGGCGUAAAGAGCGUGUAGGCGGCCAGGUAGGUCUGCUGUGAAAACUCGAGGCUUAACCUCGAGAUGUCGGCGGAAACCAUCAGGCUAGAGUCCGGAAGAGGAGAAUGGAAUUCCCGGUGUAGCGGUGAAAUGCGCAGAUAUCGGGAAGAACACCCGUGGCGAAGGCGGUUCUCUGGGACGGUACUGACGCUGAGACGCGAAAGCGUGGGGAGCGAACAGG